UACGUAGGGGGCUAGCGUUGUCCGGAAUCAUUGGGCGUAAAGAGCGUGUAGGCGGCCCGGUAAGUCCGCUGUGAAAGUCGGGGGCUCAACCCUCGAAUGCCGGUGGAUACUGUCGGGCUAGAGUGCGGAAGAGGCGAGUGGAAUUCCUGGUGUAGCGGUGAAAUGCGCAGAUAUCAGGAGGAACACCAGUUGCGAAGGCAGCUCGCUGGGACGUAACUGACGCUGAGACGCGAAAGCGUGGGGAGCAAACAGG
rnacentral:rRNA from 1 species